CACGUAGGGGGCGAGCGUUGUCCGGAUUUAUUGGGCGUAAAGAGCUCGUAGGCGGUUUCGUUAGUCGGGUGUGAAAACCCCAGGCUCAACCUGGGGACGCCACCCGAUACUGCGAUGACUAGAGUCCGGUAGGGGAGUGUCGAAUUCCUGGUGUAGCGGUGAAAUGCGCAGAUAUCAGGAGGAACACCAACGGCGAAGGCAGCACUCUGGGCCGGAACUGACGCUGAGGAGCGAAAGCGUGGGUAGCGAACAGG
rnacentral:rRNA from 1 species